rnacentral:rRNA from 1 species
AGCAGCCGCGGUAAUUCCAGCUCCAAUAGCGUAUAUUAAAGUUGUUGCAGUUAAAAAGCUCGUAGUUGAACUUCGGGGUUUACCCAUUGGUCAGGCUUAAUUGUCUGUACUGGUGAGAUAAAUCUCUACCUUCUGAGGAACUUUCAUGCCAUUUAUUUGGUGUGAUGGGAAAUCAGGACUGUUACUUUGAAAAAUUAGAGUGUUUAAAGCAGGCUAACGUCUGAAUACAUUAGCAUGGAAUAAUGAAAUAGGACGGACUGAUUCUAUUUCGUUGGUUUCUAGGAUCACCGUAAUGAUUAAUAGGGAUAGUUGGGGGCAUUAGUAUUCAAUUGUCAGAGGUGAAAUUCUUGGAUUUAUUGAAGACUAACUACUGCGAAAGCAUUUGCCAAGGAUGUUUUCAUUAAUCAAGAACGAAAGUUAGGGGAUCGAAGACGAUCAGAUACCGUCGUAGUCUUAACCAUAAACUAUGCCGACUAGGGAUCGGAC